rnacentral:rRNA from 1 species
UGGGGAAUAUUGCACAAUGGGCGCAAGCCUGAUGCAGCCAUGCCGCGUGUGUGAAGAAGGCCUUCGGGUUGUAAAGCACUUUCAGCGAGGAGGAAGGUGGUGAGCUUAAUACGCUCAUCAAUUGACGUUACUCGCAGAAGAAGCACCGGCUAACUCCGUGCCAGCAGCCGCGGUAAUACGGAGGGUGCAAGCGUUAAUCGGAAUUACUGGGCGUAAAGCGCACGCAGGCGGUUUGUUAAGUCAGAUGUGAAAUCCCCGGGCUCAACCUGGGAACUGCAUUUGAAACUGGCAAGCUAGAGUCUCGUAGAGGGGGGUAGAAUUCCAGGUGUAGCGGUGAAAUGCGUAGAGAUCUGGAGGAAUACCGGUGGCGAAGGCGGCCCCCUGGACGAAGACUGACGCUCAGGUGCGAAAGCGUGGGGCAGCAAACAGGAUUAGAUACCCUGGUAGUCCACGCUGUAAACGAUGUCGAUUUUGGAGGUUGUGCCCUUGAGGCGUGGCUUCCGGAGCUAACGCGUUAAAUCGACCGCCUGGGGAGUACGGCCGCAAGGUUAAAACUCAAAGGAAUUGACGGGGUCAU